UCCUCAUUUCACACUCUCUCUCACCAGUCAGACAGGCGAGAGAGUGUGCGAAAUGAAGAGA
rfam:Pristionchus pacificus strain PS312 contig4784, whole genome shotgun sequence.